UAGAGUAGCAAAGAUGCGUAAAGUGUUGCAAAAUGGGAUGUCGUUUGCAAACGAAAAGGCUAAGCCUUGCGGUGUCUUUGCGCGUCCGCU
rnacentral:ncRNA from 1 species